UCGUGGAGUGAUCUGUCUGCUUAAUUGCGUUUCGCAAAGGGUAUUUUAACUUCCAUUGAGUCGCACGGUAUUUCAUCUUUCAUGGUGUGUGCCUGUUGCACUUAUGGAUGAAAUCACCCUGAAGGCAACGAACGUGACCGCAACCUCUUGUUGCCUCCUUUUUUAUAAAACAUGGGUUCUUAUUUGCUUGUUUCGGCAAGCGUUUGGUUCUCUGCACGGAGUUUUUGCAAACUAGAGGG
rnacentral:rRNA from 1 species